rnacentral:rRNA from 1 species
UACGUAGGGUGCAAGUGUUAAUCGGAAUUACUGGGCGUAAAGCGUGCGCAGGAGGUUUUGUAAGUCUGUCGUGAAAGCCCCGGGCUCAACCUGGGAAUUGCGAUGGAGACUGCAAGGCUUGAAUCUGGCAGAGGGGGGUAGAAUUCCACGUGUAGCAGUGAAAUGCGUAGAGAUGUGGAGGAACACCGAUGGCGAAGGCAGCCCCCUGGGUCAAGAUUGACGCUCAUGCACGAAAGCGUGGGGAGCAAACAGG